rnacentral:rRNA from 1 species
ACUCCUACGGGAGGCAGCAGUGGGGAAUAUUGCACAAUGGGGGAAACCCUGAUGCAGCAACGCCGCGUGAAGGAAGAAGGCCUUCGGGUUGUAAACUUCUGUCCUAGGGGAAGAAACAAAUGACAUUACCCUUGGAGGAAGCCCCGGCUAACUACGUGCCAGCAGCCGCGGUAAUACGUAGGGGGCGAGCGUUAUCCGGAAUUAUUGGGCGUAAAGAGUGCGUAGGUGGCAUCUUAAGCGCAGGGUUUAAGGCAAUGGCUCAACCAUUGUUCGCCUUGCGAACUGGGGUGCUUGAGUGCAGGAGGGGAAAGUGGAAUUCCUAGUGUAGCGGUGAAAUGCGUAGAUAUUAGGAGGAACACCAGUGGCGAAGGCGACUUUCUGGACUGUUACUGACACUGAGGCACGAAAGCGUGGGGAGCAAACAGGAUUAGAAACCCGGGUAGUCCAGAAGUG